rfam:Triticum aestivum genome assembly, contig: Triticum_aestivum_CS42_TGACv1_scaffold_030570_1BL
CUAAUACUCCCUCCGUUCGGAAUUACUUGUCACAAAAAUGGAUAAAGAUAUAUGUAUCUACAACUAAAAUACAUCUAGAUACAUUCAUUUCUUGUACGAGUAAUUCCGAACGGAGGGAGUACAUG